GAGGGUAUAGCUCAAGUGGUAAAGUGUAUGCUUAACAUACUCAAGGUCCUGGGUUCAAACCCCAGUACCUCCU
rnacentral:tRNA from 1 species